GAUGAACGCUGGCGGCGUGCCUAAUACAUGCAAGUCGAGCGGACGGACGAGAAGCUUGCUUCUCUGAUGUUAGCGGCGGACGGGUGAGUAACACGUGGAUAACCUACCUAUAAGACUGGGAUAACUUCGGGAAACCGUAGCUAAUACCGAAUAAUAUUUUGAACCGCAUGGUUCAAAAGUGAAAGACGGUCUUGCUGUCACUUAUAGAUGGAUCCGCGCUGCAUUAGCUAGUUGGUAAGGUAACGGCUUACCAAGGCAACGAUGCAUAGCCGACCUGAGAGGGUGAUCGGCCACACUGGAACUGAGACACGGUCCAGACUCCUACGGGAGGCAGCAGUAGGGAAUCUUCCGCAAUGGGCGAAAGCCUGACGGAGCAACGCCGCGUGAGUGAUGAAGGUCUUCGGAUCGUAAAACUCUGUUAUUAGGGAAGAACAUAUGUGUAAGUAACUGUGCACAUCUUGACGGUACCUAAUCAGAAAGCCACGGCUAACUACGUG
rnacentral:rRNA from 1 species